GAUGAACGCUGGCGGCGUGCCUAAUACAUGCAAGUCGAGCGAACGGACGAGAAGCUUGCUUCUCUGAUGUUAGCGGCGGACGGGUGAGUAACACGUGGAUAACCUACCUAUAAGACUGGGAUAACUUCGGGAAACCGGAGCUAAUACCGGAUAAUAUUUUGAACCGCAUGGUUCAAAAGUGAAAGACGGUCUUGCUGUCACUUAUAGAUGGAUCCGCGCUGCAUUAGCUAGUUGGUAAGGUAACGGCUUACCAAGGCAACGAUGCAUAGCCGACCUGAGAGGGUGAUCGGCCACACUGGAACUGAGACACGGUCCAGACUCCUACGGGAGGCAGCAGUAGGGAAUCUUCCGCAAUGGGCGAAAGCCUGACGGAGCAACGCCGCGUGAGUGAUGAAGGUCUUCGGAUCGUAAAACUCUGUUAUUAGGGAAGAACAUAUGUGUAAGUAACUGUGCACAUCUUGACGGUACCUAAUCAGAAAGCCACGGCUAACUACGUGCCAGCAGCCGCGGUAAUACGUAGGUGGCAAGCGUUAUCCGGAAUUAUUGGGCGUAAAGCGCGCGUAGGCGGUUUUUUAAGUCUGAUGUGAAAGCCCACGGCUCAACCGUGGAGGGUCAUGGGAACUGGAAAACUUGAGUGCAAAAAAGAAAAGUGGAAUUCCAUGUGUAGCGGUGAAAUGCGCAGAGAUAUGGAGGAACACCAGUGGCGAAGGCGACUUUCUGGUCUGUAACUGACGCUGAUGUGCGAAAGCGUGGGGAUCAAACAGGAUUAGAUACCCUGGUAGUCCACGCCGUAAACGAUGAGUGCUAAGUGUUAGGGGGUUUCCGCCCCUUAGUGCUGCAGCUAACGCAUUAAGCACUCCGCCUGGGGAGUACGACCGCAAGGUUGAAACUCAAAGGAAUUGACGGGGACCCGCACAAGCGGUGGAGCAUGUGGUUUAAUUCGAAGCAACGCGAAGAACCUUACCAAAUCUUGACAUCCUUUGACAACUCUAGAGAUAGAGCCUUCCCCUUCGGGGGACAAAGUGACAGGUGGUGCAUGGUUGUCGUCAGCUCGUGUCGUGAGAUGUUGGGUUAAGUCCCGCAACGAGCGCAACCCUUAAGCUUAGUUGCCAUCAUUAAGUUGGGCACUCUAAGUUGACUGCCGGUGACAAACCGGAGGAAGGUGGGGAUGACGUCAAAUCAUCAUGCCCCUUAUGAUUUGGGCUACACACGUGCUACAAUGGACAAUACAAAGGGCAGCGAAACCGCGAGGUCAAGCAAAUCCCAUAAAGUUGUUCUCAGUUCGGAUUGUAGUCUGCAACUCGACUACAUGAAGCUGGAAUCGCUAGUAAUCGUAGAUCAGCAUGCUACGGUGAAUACGUUCCCGGGUCU
rnacentral:rRNA from 1 species